rnacentral:rRNA from 1 species
GUCUUUUAGAAAUAUUUAUUAAAAGUUUAACCUGCCCAUUGAUUUAUUAAAAGGCUGCGGUAUUUUGACCGUACAAAGGUAGCAUAAUCAAUAGUUUUUUAAUUGAAAACUAGAAUGAAUGGUUGAAUGAAAUAUUAACUGUUUUAAUUAAAAUCUUAGAAUUUUACUUUUAAAUUAAAAGGUUUAAAUAUAUUUAAAAGACGAGAAGACCCUAUAGAGUUUAAUAUUUAUUUAUUUUUAAUAUAUUAGGUUUAAUUUAUAUUAUAUAUAAAUUAAAUAUUUUGUUGGGGUGAUAGUAAAAUUUUAUGAACUUUUAUUUUUAAAACCAUUGAUAUAUGAAUUUUAGAUCCAUUAUUAAUGAUUAUAAGUUUAAAUUACCUUAGGGAUAACAGCGUAAUUUUUUUUUAAGUUCAUAUUAAUAAAAAAGUUUGCGACCUCGAUGUUGGAUUAAGAUUAAUUUUAGGCGCAGAAGUUUAAAAUUUAAGUCUGUUCGACUUUUAAAUUCUU